rnacentral:rRNA from 1 species
AUUGAACGCUGGCGGCAGGCCUAACACAUGCAAGUCGAGCGGAUGAAGGGAGCUUGCUCCUGGAUUCAGCGGCGGACGGGUGAGUAAUGCCUAGGAAUCUGCCUGGUAGUGGGGGAUAACGUCCGGAAACGGGCGCUAAUACCGCGUACGUCCUGAGGGAGAAAGUGGGGGAUCUUCGGGCCUCACGCUAUCAGAUGAGCCUAGGUCGGAUUAGCUAGUUGGUGGGGUAAAGGCCUACCAAGGCGACGAUCCGUAACUGGUCUGAGAGGAUGAUCAGUCACACUGGAACUGAGACACGGUCCAGACUCCUACGGGAGGCAGCAGUGGGGAAUAUUGGACAAUGGGCGAAAGCCUGAUCCAGCCAUGCCGCGUGUGCGAAGAAGGUCUUCGGAUUGUAAAGCACUUUAAGUUGGGAGGAAGGGCAGUAAGUUAAUACCUUGCUGUUUUGACGUUACCAACAGAAUAAGCACCGGCUAACUUCGUG